GAUCAAAUACACUUAAAUUGUUAACUAUUGUCUUUAGAAUCUAGAUCAAUUCAUUGUUUUAUUGCAAUAAUUUAAAUUAUCAAUCAAAGUAAAAUCCCUUGCUUGUUUUUGGAGUAAAUGUAUAUAAAAAGAACAAAGCAAAAUAUAUAUUCCUUUCUUCUUUUUUACUUUCUUUCUUUCUUUUCCGUUGUCACAUUCAAGCUAAAAAAAGUGUAUACAACCCGGCAAAAAAAAUCAUUGUUAAUAUGAAUGUUUAUAAGAAGAAAAGCAUUAAUAACUAGUGUCGGUGUUUUAAAGUUUUGAGUUGUUAAUAAAUAUUAAAAAAAAAAAAGGAAAGAAAAGAAUAAAGCCG
rnacentral:lncRNA from 1 species